rnacentral:misc_RNA from 1 species
UGCCGACGGACGCGCGCACGGUCAUCGUGGCCUACUAGCUGCCUCUUUGGUCUCUUGCAACGAGCAAGAGCAACAGGAGCCUUGCCGCUCGGAGAUGUAGAUGGAAAAGGGAGGAGGUAGACACCCAUCCACAGGGAUCAUCCCACGCACUGAAUCAUAUUUGACAGCGAGCAAGGAGGGACAGCCAAGACAGAGGCAAUGGUCUUGCUUCACUCCCUCGUGAACGUGACCAUCUUGGCCUUGCUCCUCAUCUUUGCGUUUCAGUACCAGACAAUCCGUAAUAGGGAAGCCGCGGAUGCGCGCUACACGCUCGCUUCCUAUCUCUUCGCGAGCAACGAUCACACACAUUCGUACCUUCAUCGCCGCAUCGAGACCAUAGAUGAAUUCGUUGGAACCCUUGAGGGCAUCGUGCGGGCUUACUACGCUGUGCCAACACGCAGUCGAGGGUUGUUCAUGCACUACACGAACUCGAGUUCACGCGACUCCGACGCGAUCGCUCCGCCGACACUGUUUCUGCAAUACCAUCUGGGCUACCACGGUGCACCGUCUUACGCGCAACUGGGAACUAAGACCUACGCGCUCACGCUGGAAAGCCCGACGGGCCCGUUUGUGAACACCACGGCGCUCCUGAACAACUCGACCGAAUCCUGCACACCGCAGGCAGACCCUGUGGCAGGUGGAGCGUUCAUUCCAUGCCGCGUUUCGGCAAUCGGUGACUUGCUCGAUCGCGUGGUGCUGCUGCGUCUGGUCUUUUCCCUCUUCGCCCGCUCGCGGCGGUGGGCCGGCGACAGGGCAGCCACAACCCCCUCCACCUGGGAUGUUGCGGUGAACUACGGCUUUGAGGGGCACAAGGCCGCUGUGACGAUGACAGUACGUUUGUCGUCUGUCUCGCGGCGCCAGCUAGAGCAGGGGCCACUGCUGCUGUGUUGGGCCGUGGGGCUUCUCGCACUCGUAGACAUAUGCGUGCGGCUGCGUGUGCAGGUGAAAGAGAUGAUGGUGGUGAACGCCAGGCACCACCAUUACGACACUCUUCCCGGCGAGGAGGAGGGACUGGGGAAGGCGCAGAUACAGUCACCGACACUUGGCACUGUACAGGUAGGGGAGAACGGCUGGCGCUGGAUAGGGUACCUUUCUAACACAGCCGUCCUCUCCUUCGCCACGGUAGCCCUGUUGGCGCAGCACAAGCGCUGCACCAGUGACUCGCUUGAGGAAGCAGUCACCCUGCUGCUUGCCUUUGCCGCCAUGCUGAGCAGCUUUCGCGUGGUCGUGCUGCUAAAGCUGUUUCCUGCGUGGUAUGUCCUCAUCGACGGGCUCGCGACAUCACUGCAACAGCUCGCCGUGUUCGUGGUUGGGGUACUGCCAGUGCUCAUUGGCUACGCCGUGUGCGGCACCGCGGUGUUUGGUGGGAUGAGCGGCAUCUACUUCCAGAGCAUCCCAAGCGCCGUCGUGACGCUUUUGUGCUCCAUGUUUGGUGACAAUCUGCUCAGCACCUUUCUUCGCAUGGAUCAAUCUCCGAACUGGCUGCAGAUGCUUUUCGUUCGAGUGUUUAUCCUCACCUUCCUGGCUCUGUUUGUGUGCAACAUCCUCAGCAUCGCCCACAGCAUCAUCCAGGACUCCUACAGUCAGGCACUCAAGUCGUACGCGAGCACCAUGACAGCGGCUGCAGAGGCGGCCGCCGUCGCUCAGCAGCAGCCACCCAGCAGCAGCAACGACUGGAUCGGUGCCUACGGGGAGAUAAGUGGCGACGAGGGCGUCGCCGUGCAUGACCGGCGCAACCGACCAGAUGAGCGGACGUCGGAUAGUGCCGUCUCCACCGCUGCCACCUUGUCGUCACACUCACGUCACGAACACUCACCGGGUAACAGCAACAACGCGCGACGGCAGGCAGUGCCACCAUUUAGCCCGCGUGAGGUGCUGCGCGCAGCUGAUGUGAAGCGGAUGCUCAGUCGACUGGAGCGCGCCUCUCUCUGAGCUGCAGUGCUGACCUGACAACACAGGGAAAAAUGGAGCCGAAGGGAGGAGGGUGGUGGCUGUGAGGAACAGGUGGGUGAGAGCAACUGUGCCGCGGGGCCGAGGGGUCUGAGGUAGGGCAUGAUACAAACCCGCAUUUUUUCCUUUGCGCAUCGAUUUCUUCAUGUCUGUGCGGGGCUUCCGUCUCGCCCUCCCUUGCCCCUCCUCGCCCGCGUGACUGUGUGCCGUUGAGGACGGUGUGCGAGAUAUGUGUGUGCUUACUGUGGACUUGGCGUCCUCUCUCUCUUUGGCGCUCUCGCUCGCCUUCUCCCUUUCCCUCAUUCGUUCUCUGGAGCCGUUAGGCUCUUUCCCUUGGGUUUCACGUCGAUGACAGCCGCGUGCCUACUGCUGGCGCUCUGUCUUUUUGUUUUGUGCCUCCGGGCUCGCGCACUCUCUCUCCUGUUGAGCCGCGUUCCUACGACUUGUAGGGGUGCGCGAGCGCCUUGGAAGCGGAAUCCGAGUAAGCCAUCGACGACUUUCACCCGCUCUGUAAUAGAAGGGGAGGCGGUGGCAAGCGGCGCUUGUGCACAGACUCCCGUAUUCCUCCACCCACCCGUCCUUUUCAUAGGCUGGCGCGAUGCCGUUGUAUUUUCUCGGCGUUGGCUACCCCCGAACCAGCCAAGGGAACGCGCAACACAACCAUAAAGCGCUUAUGCGCACGUGUGCGACCAGACGUGACUGCUGUCGUGACGAAGACAGUUUUUCCUACUCGUCCACUCAUCAGCUCUCUUGCGUUCGCUGUCUUGCGCCGCUUCUGCAGAGGUGACAGGGAGGGGUUCGGCGCUCUCUUUGCCUUUUCUUUUUCUUGUAGCGGCUUGUAGCGGUCGGGCUUGAUCCCAGAGGGCAGCACACACUUCUCCUUACGCGCCUAAGGCUUCUUCGCUCUCGUAUCUCUCCUGUCACUCGUACCCUUGCACGCGCACACACCGUCCUUCGGUCGGCUCCCACAGUAGAGGCCGUAUUCGCGCUUCCCACAUCAAAAGAGAAGACGAGGGAACCUGCGUUCCCCACGAACACC